CAGGUAGCUUCCAGGAGAAGUGGCUGAUCAGCCUGGAUGCCCCUGAACCCUGGCCAACUUAGGGGAGUGGGCUCCGGACCAUCGAGUGCCCUUCCCUGGGGAAAGCGGGGGUUUGUGACGGGAUCCCAUGGCUGUGGGAACACAGUUCGCUCACAGUGGUUCUUUGGGGAAAGCUCCAAGCUCACCAUACUGGAGGACCUGAAGAAGGUGUCACCACCCAAGGUCACUGUGUUUGAGCCAUCAGAAGCAGAGAUCGACAGGAAAAAAAAGGCCACCCUCGUGUGCCUGGCCACAGACUUCUACCCAGACCACGUGGAGCUGAGCUGGUGGGUGAAUGGAAAGGAGGUGCAAAAUGGGGUCAGCACGGACCCUCAGCCCUCCAGUGCCGCCAGUGACUCCAAAUACUUCCUGAGCAGUCGCCUGAGGGUCUCUGCCACCUUCUGGCUCAACCCUCGCAACCACUUCCGCUGCCAAGUGCAGUUCUAUGGGCUCUCAGAGGAAGACGAGUGGACCGAGGAGGGGCCCAAACCCAUCACCCAGAAUGUCAGUGCUGAGGUCUGGGGCCGAGCAGACUGUGGUGUCACCUCAGGUGAGUGAGCUGCUUCCUUUCUGUUCAUCUCCCUGGUCUUGUCUCUGGACCCAGGACACAGAGAACUCUUGGACAGUGGGGUGUGGG